AGCGUGAUGGCGCAGCUGGUAGCGCGCUGGGCUCAUAUGGUCAUGUGACUUUGGAACCCAGAGGUCGUCGGAUCGAAACUGACUCCCGCUA